AACUUUCAACAAUGGAUCUCUUGGUUCUCGCGUCGAUGAAGAACGUGGCAAAAUGCGAUAAGUAGUGUGAAUUGCAGAAUUUAGUGAAUCAUCGAAUUUUUGAACGCACCUUGCGCUCUUUAGUAUUCUAGAGAGCAUGCCUGUUUGAGCGUUAUU
rnacentral:rRNA from 1 species